AGACGGCUUCCUGACCCCCGUCUAUUUCCUGCCUUUCUUGUCAGAGUGAGUUGGGAACAGAGUAAGAGAAGGAAGCUGAAUAAAAGUUAAAUACAAAUAGAAAAAAGAUUAUACACCAGAUUUGAGCAGUAAACUAGUUAAAGAAAUGGGAAAGUUAGUAAGGAGUUUUCACUCGGGAUUAGAGGACUCCAGCCGGUACCUGACUUCAGAGUGAUGGAGAGCUCCUUCUUAAUAAACCUGCAGAGCAGUGAGGACGUCCAGCUUCAGGACCUCCUGGUUGGAGUUCACGGAGGACUUCAGCUUCUUGUAGCUGCUCCUGCUGAUAGAUGUCAUUGCUGUCUUCUCCCUCUGCACUGGCUGCUACGUCUUCUUUGUUUCUGCUUUUCUCUUUGUCAUGACUGUGAAUCAGGCAGCUGUGCUGAAAAUAUGAUUGUUCUCCUUAUAAUAAAAGCUGGAAGCUGAAAA